CCUACGGGAGGCAGCAGUGAGGAAUAUUGGUCAAUGGACGAGAGUCUGAACCAGCCAAGUAGCGUGAAGGAUGACUGCCCUAUGGGUUGUAAACUUCUUUUAUAGGGGAAUAAAAUGUUCCACGUGUGGGAUGUUGUAUGUACCAUAUGAAUAAGGAUCGGCUAACUCCGUGCCAGCAGCCGCGGUAAUACGGAGGAUCCGAGCGUUAUCCGGAUUUAGGGGGUUUAAAGGGAGCGUAGGUGGAUUGUUAAGUCAGUUGUGAAAGUUUGCGGCUCAACCGUAAAAUUGCCGUUGAAACGGGCAGUCUUGCGUACAGUAGCGGUGGGCGGAAUUCGUGGUGUCGCGGU
rnacentral:rRNA from 1 species